rnacentral:rRNA from 1 species
AUACCGCCCAAGAGUUCAUAUCGACGGCGGUGUUUGGCACCUCGAUGUCGGCUCAUCUCAUCCUGGGGCUGUAGCCGGUCCCAAGGGUAUGGCUGUUCGCCAUUUAAAGAGGUACGUGAGCUGGGUUCAAAACGUCGUGAGACAGUUUGGUCCCUAUCUUCCGUGGGCGCUGCAGAUUUGAGAAAGCCUGCUCCUAGUACGAGAGGACCGGAGUGGACGCACCGCUGGUGUACCUGUUGUCACGCCCGUGGCAUCGCAGGGUAGCUAAGUGCGGAAGAGAUAACCGCUGAAAGCAUCUAAGCGGGAAACUCGUUUCAAGAUGAGAUCUGCCGGGGCCUUGAGCCCCCUAAAGAGUCGUUCUAGACCAGGACGUUGAUAGGCUGGGUGUGGAAGUGCAGUAAUGCAUUAAGCUAACCAGUACUAAUUGCUCGUGCGGCUUGACCCU